GGGCCGGUAGUUCAGUGGUAGCAACGUCCGCCUUGCACGCGGAAGGUCUGGGGUUCGAAUCCCCACCGGUCCA
rnacentral:tRNA from 1 species